UACGUAGGCAGCAAGCGUUGUUCGGAAUUACUGGGCGUAAAGAGCGCGCAGGCGGUUUGUUAAGUCCGAGGUGAAAUCUCCCGGCUCAACUGGGAGGGGUCUUCGGAUACUGGCCGACUUGAGGAGAGCAGAGGUGAGUGGAAUUCUCGGUGUAGUGGUGAAAUGCGUAGAUAUCGAGAGGAACACCAGCGGCGAAGGCGGCUCACUGGGCUCCACCUGACGCUGAGGCGCGAAAGCGUGGGGAGCAAACAGG
rnacentral:rRNA from 1 species